rnacentral:rRNA from 1 species
UACGUAGGGGGCAAGCGUUGUCCGGAUUUAUUGGGCGUAAAGAGCUCGUAGGUGGUUCGGUAAGUCGGAUGUGAAAUCUCCAGGCUCAACCUGGAGGGGUCAUUCGAUACUGCCGUGACUAGAGGUCGGUAGGGGAGUGUGGAAUUCGUGGUGGAGCGGUGAAAUGCGCAGAUAUCAGGAGGAACACCCGUAGCGAAGGCGGCACUCUGGGCCGAUACUGACACUGAGGAGCGAAAGCGUGGGGAGCGAACAGG